rnacentral:rRNA from 1 species
ACUCCUACGGGAGGCAGCAGUGAGGAAUAUUGGGCAAUGGGCGAAAGCCUGACCCAGCCACGCCGCGUGAGUGAUGAAGGCCCUCGGGUCGUAAAGCUCUGUGGAGAGGGACGAAAACCCUGGUUUCGAAUAGGCUCCAGGCUUGACGGUACCUCUUUAGCAAGCACCGGCUAACUCUGUGCCAGCAGCCGCGGUAAUACAGAGGGUGCAAACGUUGCUCGGAUUUACUGGGCGUAAAGCGCGUGUAGGUGGGUAUGUAAGUCGGACGUGAAAUCCCUGGGCUCAACCCAGGAACUGCGUUCGAAACUACAUAUCUAGAGUAGUGGAGAGGAAAGUAGAAUUCCCGGUGUAGAGGUGAAAUUCGUAGAUAUCGGGAGGAAUACCAGUGGCGAAGGCGGCUUUCUGGACACUUACUGACGCUGAGACGCGAAAGCGUGGGGAGCAAACAGGAUUAGAUACCCUGGUAGGAUAGCGU